rnacentral:rRNA from 1 species
AAUUUUGGACAAUGGGGGAAACCCUGAUCCAGCCAUCCCGCGUGUAUGAUGAAGGCCUUCGGGUUGUAAAGUACUUUUGGCAGAGAAGAAAAGGUAUCUCGUAAUACGAGAUACUGCUGACGGUACAUGCAGAAUAAGCACCGGCUAACUAAGUGCCAGCAGCCGCGGUAAUACGUAGGGUGCAAGCGUUAAUCGGAAUUACUGGGCGUAAAGAGUGUGUAGGCGGUUCGGAAAGAAAGAUGUGAGAUCCCAGGGCUCAACCUUGGAACUGCAUUUUUAACUGCCGGGCUAGAGUAUGUCAGAGGGGGGUAGAAUUCCACGUGUAGCAGUGAAAUGCGUAGAUAUGUAGAGGAAUACCGAUGGCGAAGGCAGCCCCCUGGGAUAAUACUGACGCACAGACACGAAAGCGUGGGGAGCAAGCAGG